GGCAACGAUGAAAACAUCCUCCUUCUUUCCCAGUCCGACUCGACCAUGACGAUAGGGAUUGUGUUACGCAUUGCUAUUUACGAAUAGCAAGCUUUACUUGCCAGUGUAAUUUAUUACACUACUUAAGAUUCUGAGCC
rnacentral:snoRNA from 1 species